rnacentral:lncRNA from 1 species
GGAGCAUACAUAUGUGUGUAAUAGACCAUCUUCAUUCAUGAACACAAUAUUCAGUCAUGAACAUAUUACUAUUUCAUCAAGAACAUGUAUGUCAAUUUUUAAUCUAUUAAGCUAGCACGUGCAUAAAGCAGGCAUGUCAAGCUAGCAUGUGCAUAAUUUGGCCACAAAGCUAGCAUGUCAAUCUCUUUUAGGUCAAUAUUUACAUUUAGGUUUGUUUCUGCCUGAGAUUGUAUCACAUUUUUAAGUAUCUUAUGGACACAAUUAGACUCACUUUUCUUCAUGAACGUUGUGUAUUUAUGUCUUAGCUUUCUAACAAGAUAUAUUACAUCUAAUUCUGACCUUCCUAACUUAAGUUAUGAAUUUUUCUUUGCAACCUGCUCAAUCAGGUCCUAACCAGUACAGUUUUGGGAUCUGUUUUUAAUCUAACAAAACCUAUCAUAUGCAUACAUUUUCAUACAGAUUCAAGCUUAACUUUCUUGUACAAAGUUUUAGGUAUACUUUUCAGGGUUCAUUUGGCACUGGGCUUAACUCAUUUCAUUGAGUAAAUCAUUAGUUAUGGUCUAGGAUAUACAUACUGCUCCGGAUGCACAAUUCCCUGUGACCAGCUUAGGUUCACUAGCAAUUUUCACAUAAUUAGCUACAGAUUCAGACUUUGGUUACUUCAUGAAAGUUUUAGCUUUUUGUCUUAGCUUUCAUUUGGUAUAUGCUAGGCUUAAUUUUAAUGAAUACACAAUAAGUUAUGAGGCUUCUAACAUAGACUGUCCUGUUGGAACCUAUUCUGCCAGUUUUAUGUUUUUGGCUCCCAUGUUGUAUCUAUGUGCUUUAAACCUGCCAAUCAUCAUUUCACCAUUCAUAUGACAUAUCCAUACAAUCAAAGCAACAUUUCCAGCAAGUAAAAUCAACCCCUAAUUUCACUUAUUCAUGACAGAAUCAAAGGAAAACAGAAAGUCAUA